CUGCAGCCAAUUAAGCCAACCAUACUCCUUUCUUCAUGGGUGCCUGGUAUGCAAUGGCUACAAACAGCAGCCUCUUCCAUAGUGUAUGCAGCCUGUUGCUUGUAUGGGUUGCCAUAAGGGACCUUGGAGACAAAC